GUCAGCAAUACCAUUAGUAGUAGUGUUUGUGAUGUAGUGUAGUAGUAGUGUUGGCACAUGCUUGCCACUGGCCCAGGCAUGUGAGGAGGGCUCUGACCCUGAACUUGCCCUGAGUCCAUUCACAUCCAGAUGUCCCAUCUCUGGGGCUGUGCAUAGGGCAUCCCCUGCAACAGCCUGGUCCGAAAGUGACCCAUGUGCAGGUGCAAGCUACAAGGGGACUCAGAAGGCUCCCACUUCAGCCACCACCUCCCACUUCACAGAUAGGAACACUGAGGCUCUUGGAGGGCAACAGUCAUCCAAUAUCAUGUGGCAAGUUGCCCAGGUUUCUGUCCCCAGCCCAGGGGUAAUUCCAGUAAGCCAACUGGUCAGGCACCCAGGUUCAAAUGUGGGCUUUGCACUGCUUGCUGUGUGACCUUGGGCAAGUGACACCGCCUCUCUGUGCUUCAUCUAAAAAUAGGGAUAAAAAUACUUACCUCGAGUGAGGAUUAGAACAUAAGGCAGGCAUCCGGAAUCUCUUUUUGACUGCUGUAUGCAUGGUCAAAAGAGCUUAAACAGCUUAAAAAGCCUGACCCCCAGCAAAAGUGUGACCAAUGAUGGUUAACAUGAGUGAGUGCUGGUUCUGCCUGGCACAUGUGAAGAUUCAUGUAGUCCUUAGCAAUCCCACAAAGUAGGUAUUUUUGAAUCCCAUCUUCCACAUAAAGAAAUUUAAAUGAGGCACCCAAGGCCACAGAGCUGGAAACUGGUAGCAUCAGAAGCUGAAUUCAGGCAGGUGAGCACUGUGCUAAGUGCUCUACACAAAUGCAUUUGUUCACUCAUUCAUUCAUGUAACAAGCAGUAAGCACCUAUUAUACACCAGGUACUGCUUUAGAUACCAUGCAUACAGCAGUCAAAAAGAGAGUCAGGAUGCCUGCCUUAUGUUCUGUUUCUCAUUUGUGGUAGGUAUUUGUGUUAUCUAUUUUUAGAUGAAGCACAGAGAGGCAGUGUCACUUGCCCAAGGUCACACAGCAAGGAGUGCAAAGCCCACAUUUGAACCUGGGCCUAGCUGAUGCCUCGUUUUCUGUCCUGAGGGACCCUUUUCCAGCAAUAUCCCCAGAAGGGACUGAACCAGAGGUGUAUGCACUGAUGUCUGUCCAGGGUUCAGGCCCAUUCAGAGCCCCGGAACACUCCAUCCCACGCAGCCUUAGCCUCAUUUCCCAAGUGGCAAGUGGCACUCAGGCCCCACCCUCUCCAAGCUGUCAUGAGGAUUCCUUCCUUCUUUCCUAACACUAAUUGAGAUGCCUCCUGACAUUGUACAGAUACCAUAGUUUAGGAAACCCCUCCUCCUUUCCUAGAGGUUAGUUUUGCUUCAGUCUGCAGAAGAGAAAACCCAGGGGUCUCAGAGGUGACAUGAUUUAACUAAGGCAGUGACUCAAUCAGAAUUCAAGCCCAGACAUGUGUGCCUCAAAGCAGCAGCAGUCAGGGUCUCAGCAGGAGCAGAUGGCACCCUCCAG
rnacentral:lncRNA from 1 species